rnacentral:lncRNA from 1 species
AAAAUUAAAUUGGGCCUGGAAUAUAUAAGGUAGUGUAACCUGGGUUAAUCACAUAGGUGUAUUAUUCUUGAAUAGGGUUUUGAGUAAGUCAAUAAUAAAAACAUUCUGAUUAUCAGUCUCUAUAAUCUAAAUGGUGAUCUUAUGAGAAAUCACUUCAAAUAAGUGCAAUCAGUGAACAUGUAAUAAACAGAAAAACAAUCAAUAUGUAGCAACAAGUGGUGAGGUCAGGGCAGUUCAUCAUAUUGUUAAGAUAAAUGGGUAACGCCAAGUUUUCUCUGAACUUGUAGUAACCUCUAAAGGUUUUUUUUUUGGACAGUUUAUUUGUAGCUCUUGUAUAUUUUGACACUAUCAACGCAAUAUGAGCAGGAGAUAUCUUCAAAUUUGGGAUUGAACAAAGAGCAUCCACACGUUUGUUGCUAUAAAAAGGCUCAUGUACUCACUUCUUUGGGUGUGGGUCCAAAAUGCCUGCAACAACAAAAGCAUAAUCUUAAUCCAAAUUUUUGCGGAAACCUAAAAUUAUAUCAUUUGAAUUAGUGACAAGCAGAACUAAUACAUUCUCUAUCUUGCAAUCAAUAGAUACUAUGGGAUCCAAAUACCGGAAUGCAAGAGUCGAGUGAGCAGUGAGUAGUUCAUCUAACCCUGACCGCUUACUAUAAGAAUAAAGUUAGUAAUUUUCGAGUCUACUCCGUAGGGUUUAAUAUAAAAUUAACUAAUCAACAAAAUAAAACUAUGACUUGCUUGCGUUAAUUAAUUUUCAAUUUAACCAUAUAUUUGACAUCUACAUUCUCUGUAAUGUAAAUUAUGGAAGAAUGGAAUGAUUGCAUGAACAUUAAAGUAAGAUAGAUCUAAUAUGUAAUAUAUAAAUUACUUAUGGAAGUAGCCAUGACUCGUUAAUUAAAAGUCUUCUGAACUCAUAUAGAGAUAAAUUCUAAAGGUUAUAACAACCUUUAUGAUAUAGCUCUUUACGAAUUGGUAAUGACGCGCCUUGCUACAGAAAGCUAUAUUACGUAUUUAUCGCCAUAGAGAGAAGCAAGGAAACUUUUGCUUUGUUUCUAAUUUUUUUUUCCUUCAAUGUGUCCUCGUGAAUAUCUCAUGAAUUUUGCUUUAAGGUCCUUUCGUUGCAAUAAUUAGUUGAUUCGUUCAAAGCAUAGAGAACAAAACUUAGUUCUCUGUAUUAUAUAUUAAUCCCAUAACAAUCAAAACCAAAAGAUCUUUGAGUAAUUGGUUGAAGCAUAAGCUCAUUUACCCUAAGAGGGCAUUGGCCUCUUAAUGAUGUGAUUAUUAAUUCGGUAUGAAUUUUGUAGUACAGUACCAUGUAUUGAGAAGUAUACUUUUUAUUCUGAUGUUAAGACACUUGCGUUCAUAACAAAAAUUUAGUACCCAAAAACAAAUGAACUUCAGGAAACAAUUUCACAGGUUGUGUUUUAUAUUAGAAACUGUAGAAAUUUUUCACAUGUUGGACUGUUGUUUAACCUCUAACACAAUUAUGUUGCUACCAUAGAGUAAAUACUAAUAAUUCCUCUCCAUACGCAUGUGACAUAGUUCCAUGGUAAGGGUUAAUUGGCCACCAUGACGACCCCAUGUCGUCUUUAUUCAAAUAUGAGAAUGUUUAAUAGUAAGUAUUUGAUGCAUAUGCAUAAAGAUAGCAUGUGCAAGGCACAUGCCUCAUAAUUCCUGCAGAUUCCUAUAUGGAUUAGAACAUCCCUAGUAGUAGUUUCUAUUUACUUAGCUUUCUAGUGUAGUUAGAAUUAGGUUUAGGUUAUUAUAAAUAGGGGAUUGCAAACCCUAUUAAGUAGGUUAGAUUGAAGAUUUGUUUAUGUCUUGAGACAUUAAAUUCGUUUUUGUGAAGAACCCAAGUUUUUGGGUGUUCAAACCAUUUAUUUAAUUGGUGUUCUUAUUAUUGUUUGCUUCCGCCGAUAGUAGUACAUCAAAAUUGGUAUCAAGAGCUUGUUUUUUCUGGGUUUAAAAGAUAAAAACCUGAUUUUUUUUACAAGAGUCGCGUUCAUGUUGGUGAUUUGAAGAUGGGUUAUCGUAGAAGAGGUCAAAGAGAGUUUUCGCCGCCGUCGGAUCUUUGGAGUUUACAAGAAUCGAAGCGUUAUACCGAUUCUGAAUAUAAAGCUCCCAACUUUGAUCCUAGCCGCCGCUUUCCUCUUUCUAGAAGGUAUGAACCUCCCUCUUCCUCUCGUUCCCCUUCUCCCCCACGCAGGCGACGUCGUAGUUAUUAUGACGAUGGAUAUUAUUCCCACCACCAGCAGGACACACACCUUCCACGAUGUGGUUUUCAGCAACAAUAUGUUGCUUAUGGUGCUAAAUAUUCUCAUGGAAACCGUCCAAAGACUUAUGAUCACGAUGGUCUUCGUAGUCGCAAUUCUAAGGUUACUCCGUAUGGAGAAUACCCACACUAUAUUGAAUCUGAAAUCGAUUCUAAGAGCGAUGCCUCCAUGACGUCAACAAGCAUACAAAAAGAUUUGAAAGAACUUUUAAAUUGCUUUACUAAAUUAAAAAGUCAAUUUGCGUCUUUUAAGGAAGAAUUUGUUGAAGAAGAGAAACGACUUGACAAAGAAGCGGAGAUUAAUUUUUUACUCAACAUGUUUGAUGACGAAAAAUACGUCACUCGUACUCGAAUUGGUGGUUUACAAAGUUACAAUCUUGUUGAUUUCUUUUCCGUUUUUGGUGAUGAUAGUGAUGAUACAUCUAGUUUUGUGUCUCUUGAGUUAGAAGUUGCAUGUGUGGAUCAAGUAGAAGAUUUGAUUGAAAACUCUGCAAGGGAGAUAAAUAAGAAGUUCUAUUUGUUGCCCAAGCAAGGAAACCUGGUUGUUGUCCAUGACAAUGGUAAAGAGGAUGAACGUUCUCGGAAUUUCGCUCAUCACUCCCAUGAAUCGAUGAAUUCCAUUGAUUCCGACCGACAAAUUGAUGAUUUUUAUCAUCCCCACAAAUUCCGUCCCAUAAAAGUAAUUGGUAAUUUGUUUGGUGGUUAUGUUGAUCCUUAUCUAUUCCAAGAUGAGAAUGGAUUUUCUCCAUGGAGGGACAAACACCAUCAAUUCUUAUUUCUUGACAUGCGGCUAUAUUAUUCCAAUCAAUUGGGUUGUCCUUUGAACUUUGGAGGAUGUUAGUACACAAACUCGAGGACGAGUUUUUUUCAAGUUGGGGGGAUUUGAUGCAUAUGCAUAAAGAUAGCAUGUGCAAGGAACAUGCCUCAUAAUUCCUGCAGAUUCCUAUAUGGAUUAGAACAUCCCUAGUAGUAGUUUCUAUUUACUUAGCUUUCUAGUGUAGUUAGGAUUAGGUUUAGGUUAUUAUAAAUAGGGGAUUGCAAACCCUAUUAAGUAGGUUAGAUUGAAGAUUUGUUUAUGUCAUGAGACAUUAAAUUCGUUUUUGUGAAGAACCCUAGUUUUUGGGUGUUCAAACCAUUUAUUUAAUUGUUCUUCACAAAAACGAAUUUAAGGUCUCAAGACAUAAACAAAUCUUCAAUCUAACCUCCUUAAUACGGUUUCCAAUCCCCUAUUUAUAAUAACUUAAACCUAAUCCUAACUACACUAGAAAGCUAAGUAAAUAGAAACUACUACUAGGGAUGUUCUAAUCCAUAUAAGAAUCUGCAGGAACUAUGAGGCAUGUGCCUUGCACAUGCUAUCUUUAUGCAUAUGCAUCAAAUCCCCCAACUUGAAAAAACUCGUCCUCGAGUUUGUGUACUAACAUCCUCCAAAGUUCAAAACGACUCUCGUACAUCAACCUUAACCUUACUUUGGUGCAGAAAAUCCGGCCAUGAAUCUUCCCCAAAUAGUUGCUCGCAGAAAGAAUGAUGGGCAUUAAUGUCAUAGGUGCAUCAUUAGGACAACCCAAUUGAUUGGAACAAUAUAGCCGCAUGUCAAGAAAUAAGAAUUGAAGGUGUUUGUCCCUCCAUGGAGAAAAUCCAUUCUCAUCUUGGAAUAGAUAAGGAUCAACAUAACCACCAAACAAAUUACCAAUUACUUUUAUGGGACGGAAUUUGUGGGGAUGAUAAAAAUCAUCAAUUUGUCGGUCGGAAUCAAUGGAAUUCAUCGAUUCAUGGGAGUGAUGAGCGAAAUUCUGAGAACGUUCAUCCUCUUUACCAUUGUCAUGGACAACAACCAGGUUUCCUUGCUUGGGCAACAAAUAGAACUUCUUAUUUAUCUCCCUUGCAGAUUUUUCCAUCAAAUCUUCUACUUGAUCCACACAUGCAACUUCUAACUCAAGAAACACAAAACUAGAUGUAUCAUCACUAUCAUCACCAAAAACGGAAAAGAAAUCAACAAGAUCGUAACUUUGUAAACCACCAAUUCGAGUACGAGUGACGGAUUUUUCUUCUUCAAACAUGUUGAGUAAGAAAUUAAUUUCCGCUUCUUUGUCAAGUCGUUUCUCUUCUUCAACAAAUUCUUCCUUAAAAGACGCAAAUUGACUUUUUAAUUUAGUAAAGCAAUUUAAAAGUUCCUUCAAAUCUGUUUGUAUGCUUGGUGACGUCAAGGAGGCAUCGCUCUUAGAAUCGAUUUCAGAUUCAAUAUAGUGUGGGUAUUCUCCAUACGGUGUAACUUUAGAAUUGCGACUAUGAAGACCAUCGUGAUCAUAAGUCUUUGGACGGUUUCCAUGGGAAUAUUUAGCACCAUAAGCAACAUAUUGUUGCUGAAAACCACAUCGAGGAGGGUGCGUGUCCUGCUGGUGGUGGGAAUAAUAUCCAUUGUCAUAAUAACUAUGACGUUGCCUGCGUGGGGGAGAAGGGGAACGAGAGGAAGAGGGAGGUUCAUACCUUCUAGAAAGAGGAAAGCGGCGGCUAGGAUCAAAGUUGGGAGCUUUAUAUUCAGAAUCGGUAUAACGUUUCGAUUCGUGUAAACUCCAGCGAUCUUGCGGCAACGAAAAUUCUCUUUGACCUCUUCUACAAUAACCCAUCUUCAAAUCACCAACAUGAACGCGGCUCUUGUAAUAAAAAUCAGGUUUUUAUCUUCUAAACCCAGAAAAAACAAGCUCUUGAUACCAAUUUUGAUGUAAUACUAUCGGCGGAAGCAAACAAUAAUAAGAACACCAAUUAAAUAAAUGGUUUGAACACCCAAAAACUAGGGUUCUUCACAAAAACGAAUUUAAUGUCUCAAGACAUAAACAAAUCUUCAAUCUAACCUCCUUAAUAGGGUUUCCAAUCCCCUAUUUAUAAUAACCUAAACCUAAUCCUAACUACACUAGAAAACUAAGUAAAUAGAAACUACUACUAGGGAUGUUCUAAUCCAUAUAGGAAUCUGCAGGAACUAUGAGGCAUGUGCCUUGCACAUGCUAUCUUUAUGCAUAUGCAUCAAAUCCCCCCAACUUGGAAAAAACUCGUCCUCGAGUUUGUGUACUAACAUCCUCCAAAGUUCAAAACGACUCUUGUACAUCAACCUUAACCUUACUUUGGUGCAGAAAAUCCGGCCAUGAAUCUUCCCCAGAUAGUUGCUCGCAGAAAGAAUGAUGGACAUUAAUGUCAUAGGUGCAUCAUUAGGACAACCCAAUUGAUUGGAAUAAUAUAGCCGCAUGUCAAGAAAUAAGAAUUGAUGGUGUUUGUCCCUCCAUGGAGAAAAUCCAUUCUCAUCUUGGAAUAGAUAAGGAUCAACAUAACCACCAAACAAAUUACCAAUUACUUUUAUGGGAAGGAAUUUGUGGGGAUGAUAAAAAUCAUCAGUUUGUCGGUCGGAAUCAAUGGAAUUCAUCGAUUCAUGGGAGUGAUGAGCGAAAUUCCGAGAACGUUCAUCCUUUUUACCAUUGUCAUGGACAACAACCAGGUUUCCUUGCUUGGGCAACAAAUAGAACUUCUUAUUUAUCUUACUUGCAGAUUUUUCAAACAAAUCUUUUACUUGAUCCACACAUGCAACUUCUAACUCAAGAGACACAAAACUAGAUGUAUCAUCACUAUCAUCACCAAAAACGGAAAAGAAAUCAACAAGAUUGUAACUUUGUAAACCACCAAUUCGAGUACGAGUGACGUAUUUUUCUUCUUCAAACAUGUUGAGUAAGAAAUUAAUCUCCGCUUCUUUGUCAAGUCGUUUCUCUUCUUCAACAAAUUCUUCCUUAAAAGACGCAAAUUGACUUUUUAAUUUAGUAAAACAAUUUAAAAGUUCCUUCAAAUCUUUUUGUAUGCUUGGUGAUGUCAUGAAGACAUCAUCCGGAUAAUGAGCCUGCUGCAGCAGUAAAAUCUGCUGGUUGUUGCUGUUAGAGACUUGUGAUGGGUGAACAAUUGAGGUGGAAGUGUAGAGGCUUGACGGUGCAAGGGCUGCAACCAAACUCUUCAUAAUGGGAACAUUACCAAACUCAAAUUCUGCACUAGUUUCAUCAUCAGAAUAUUCAACACACAAAGAAUCAUUAUCACAACAACUUUCCUCGUCAGAAAACUCAUCUUCUUCAUAAUCAAUCAUGGAGUCAUCGUUCCUAGAAUCGAUUUCAGAUUCAAUAUAGUAUGGGUAAUCUCCAUACGAAGUAACCUUAGAAUUGCGAUGACGAAGACCAUCGUGAUCAUAAGUCUUUGGACGGUUUCCAUGGGAAUAUUUAGCACCAUAAGCAACAUAUUGCUGCUGAAAACCACAUCGAGGAGGGUGCGUGUCUUGCUGGUGGUGGGAAUAAUAUCCAUCGUCAUAAUAACUAUGACGUCACCUGCGUGGGGGAGAAGGGGAACGAGAGGAAGAGGGAGGUUCAUACCUUCUGGAAAGAGAAAAACGGCGGCUAGGAUCAAAGUUGGGAGCUUUAUAUUCAGAAUCGGUAUAACGCUUCGAUUCUUGUAAACUCCAAAGAUCCGACGGCGGCGAAAACUCUCUUUGACCUCUUCUACGAUAACCCAUCUUCAAAUCACCAACAUGAACGCGACUCUUGUAAAAAAAAUCAGGUUUUUAUCUUUUAAACCCAGAAAAAACAAGCUCUUGAUACCAAUUUUGAUGUAAUACUAUCGGCGGAAGCAAACAAUAAUAAGAACACCAAUUAAAUAAAUGGUUUGAACACCCAAAAACUAGGGUUCUUCACAAAAACGAAUUUAAUGUCUCAAGACGUAAACAAAUCUUCAAUCUAACCUCCUUAAUAGGGUUUCCAAUCCCCUAUUUAUAAUAACCUAAACCUAAUCCUAACUACACUAGAAAGCUAAGUAAAUAGAAACUACUACUAGGGAUGUUCUAAUCCAUAUAGGAAUCUGCAGGAAUUAUGAGGCAUGUGCCUUGCACAUGCUAUCUUUAUGCAUAUGCAUCAAAUUGAAAAAAACUCGUCCUCGAGUUUGUGUACUAACAUCCUCCAAAGUUCAAAACGACUCUUGUACAUCAACCUCAACCUUACGUUGGUGCAGAAAAUCCGGCCAUGAAUCUUUUCCAAAUAGUUGCUCGCAGAAAGAAUGAUGGACAUUAAUGUCAUAGGUGCAUCAUUAGGACAACCCAAUUGAUUGGAACAAUAUAACCGCAUGUCAAGAAAUAAGAAUUGAAGGUGUUUGUCCCUCCAUGGAGAAAAUCCAUUCUCAUCUUGGAAUAGAUAAGGAUCAACAUAACCACCAAACAAAUUACCAAUUACUUUUAUGGGACGGAAUUUGUGGGGAUGAUAAAAAUCAUCAAUUUGUCGGUCGGAAUCAAUGGAAUUCAUCGAUUCAUGGGAGUGAUGAGCGAAAUUCUGAGAACGUUCAUCCUCUUUACCAUUGUCAUGGACAACAACCAGGUUUCCUUGCUUGGGCAACAAAUAGAACUUCUUAUUUAUCUCCCUUGCAGAUUUUUCCAUCAAAUCUUCUACUUGAUCCACACAUGCAACUUCUAACUCAAGAAACACAAAACUAGAUGUAUCAUCACUAUCAUCACCAAAAACGGAAAAUAAAUCAACAAGAUCGUAACUUUGUAAACCACCAAUUCGAGUACGAGUGACGUAUUUUUCUUCUUCAAACAUGUUGAGUAAGAAAUUAAUCUCCGCUUCUUUGUCAAGUCGUUUCUCUUCUUCAACAAAUUCUUCCUUAAAAGACGCAAAUUGACUUUUUAAUUUAGUAAAACAAUUUAAAAGUUCCUUCAAACCUUGUUGUAUGCUUGGUGACGUCAUGGAGGCAUCAUCUGGAUAAUGAGGCUGCUGCAGCAGUAAAAUCUGUUGGUUGUCGCUAUUAGAAACUUGUGAUGGGUGAACAACUGAGGUGGAUGUGUAGAGGUUUGACGGUGCAAGGGCUGCAACCAAACUCUUCAUAAUGGGAACAUUACCAAACUCAAAUUCUGCACUAGUUUCAUCAUCAGAAUAUUCAACACACAAAGAAUCAUUAUCACAACAACUUUCCUCGUCAGAAAACUCAUCUUCUUCAUAAUCAAUCAUGGAGUCAUCAUUCCUAGAAUCGAUUUCAGAUUCAAUAUAGUAUGGGUAAUCUCCAUACGAAGUAACCUUAGAAUUGCGACUACGAAGACCAUCGUGAUCAUAAGUCUUCGGACGGUUUCCAUGGGAAUAUUUAGCACCAUAAGCAACAUAUUGUUGUUGAAAACCACAUCGAGGAGGGUGCGUGUCCUGCUGGUGGUGGGAAUAAUAUCCAUCGUCAUAAUAACUAUGACGUCGCCUGCGUGGGGGAGAAGGGGAACGAGAGGAAGAGGGAGGUUCAUACCUUCUGGAAAGAGAAAAACGGCGGCUAGGAUCAAAGUUGGGAGCUUUAUAUUCAGAAUCGGUAUAACGCUUCGAUUCAUGUAAACUCCAGCGAUCCGGCGGCGACGAAAAUUCUCUUUGACCUCUUCUACGAUAACCCAUCUUCAAAUCACCAACAUGAACGCGGCUCUUGUAAUAAAAAUCAGGUUUUUAUCUUCUAAACCAAGAAAAAACAAGCUCUUGAUACCAAUUUUGAUGUAAUAUUAUCGGCGGAAGCAAACAAUAAUAAGAACACCAAUUAAAUAAAUGGUUUGAACACCCAAAAACUAGGGUUCUUCACAAAAACGAAUUUAAUGUCUCAAGACAUAAACAAAUCUUCAAUCUAACCUCCUCAAUAAGGUUUGCAAUCCCCUAUUUAUAAUAGCCUAAACCUAAUCCUAACUAAACUAGAAAGCUAAGUAAAUAGAAACUACUACUAGGGAUGUUCUAAUCCAUAUAGGAAUCUGCAGGAACUAUGAGGCAUGUGCCUUGCACAUGGUAUCUUUAUGCAUAUGCAUCAAAUCCCCCCAACUUGAAAAAAACUCGUCCUCGAGUUUGUGUACUAACAUCCUCCAAAGUUCAAAACGACUCUUGUACAUCAACCUCAACCUUACGUUGGUGCAGAAAAUCCGGCCAUGAAUCUUCCCCAGAUAGUUGCUCGCAGANNNNNNNNNNNNNNNNNNNNNNNNNNNNNNNNNNNNNNNNNNNNNNNNNNNNNNNNNNNNNNNNNNNNNNNNNNNNNNNNNNNNNNNNNNNNNNNNNNNNUUGUUUGCUUCCGCCGAUAGUAUUACAUCAAAAUUAGUAUCAAGAGCUUGUUUUUUCUGGGUUUAAAAGAUAAAAACCUGAUUUUUUUUACAAGAGUCGCGUUCAUGUUGGUGAUUUGAAGAUGGGUUAUCGUAGAAGAGGUCAAAGAGAAUUUUCGCCGCCGUCGGAUCUUUGGAGUUUACAAGAAUCGAAGCGUUAUACCGAUUCUGAAUAUAAAGCUCCCAACUUUGAUCCUAGCCGCCGUUUUUCUCUUUCCAGAAGGUAUGAACCUCCCUCUUCCUCUCGUUCCACUUCUCCCCCACGCAGGCGGCGUCAUAGUUAUUAUGACGAUGGGUAUUAUUCCCACCACCAGGAGGACACGCACCCUCCUCAAUGUGGUUUUCAGCAGCAAUAUGUUGCUUAUGGUGCUAAAUAUUCCCAUGGAAACCGUCCAAAGACUUAUGAUCACGAUGGUCUUCGUAGUCGCAAUUCUAAGGUUACUUCGUAUGGAGAUUACCCAUACUAUAUUGAAUCUGAAAUCGAUUCUAGGAACGAUGACUCCAUGAUUGAUUAUGAAGAAGAUGAGUUUUCUGACGAGGAAAGUUGUGAUAAUGAUUCUUUGUGUGUUGAAUAUUCUGAUGAUGAAACUAGUGCAGAAUUUGAGUUUGGUAAUGUUCCCAUUAUGAAGAGUUUGGUUCCAGCCCUUGCACCGUCAAGCCUCUACACUUCCACCUCAAUUGUUCACCCAUCACAAGUCUCUAACAGCAACAACCAGCAGAUUUUACUACUGCAGCAGGCUCAUUAUCCGGAUGAUGUCUUCAUGACAUCACCAAGCAUACAAAAAGAUUUGAAGGAAGAUUAGACCCGACAAAUAUGAGAAUGAAUCUAGUAGGCACACAAAUCUUCUGAUCUAAAGGGUGGACAAUGUGCAAUUAAACUCAGACAAAACUGUAUCUAUUGAUCUCAGCCUACCAAUGUGGUCAAAUCCAUUACAAAUCGCAUACUACUCACACCAACAACAAUCAAGCAACAGUCUAUAUUACAAUGAUUACCUCGUAUAUCAUUAACACUGCAAAGGUAUGAUUGUGGUUAAUAACAGAUAAUAGCAUAUUGCAGCAAAAAGUUAAAGAAAUCGAUAUUGGAGUCUAACAGAAAUAUAAUGUUUCUAGUCUUAAACAGUGAGAUGAGUACACGCACAAAAGCAUAGCUGAAUACAUAGACUAAAAUGUUCAAGGAAGAAACUAAAAAAAAAAUAAAAAAUUACCUUGUAGCUGUGAUCGCUUUCAAAUCAAUUCAAAAUACCCUUCAAACUGGCACUCUGCGAUCAUUAAUAGCACACAUUUUUAGUUAAAAUGAACACACAAUAUCAGUACAAAUUCAACCAAUUUAAUAGAAAAUGAAGCCACUACUACAAUGUAUAACAACAAUUUGAUAUAAAAGUGAUCGUUUGAAAUUUCAUCCUAAUGUGCAAGGUUGGCAAGCAUGGCUCAACUCAAUAUUGCAAAUUGGGAAGGCCCAUUCAAGUUCAUCAAAUCAAAUGUAGGCCAAACUUUAUCAAGGAAUCACUUAUCUAGUAAAUUGUUCUAGAGAUUUUUGGACAUACCCCCCCAUUUGAAAAAAAAUUUGAGAUAGCCCCCCAAUUCAAGAUGUGGUGUUAUCUUAGCCGUCCAUCAUAAAACUCACCUACGGAUGAUAAAACUCACCUACGGAUGUAAAGCUCUUUUGUCUUGAAUUUGGGGGGUAUCUCAAAAAAAAUUUCAAAUGGGGGGGUAUCUCAAAUUUCGACUUUCAAAUGGGGGGUAUCUCAAAUUUCGACUUUCAAAUGGGGGGUAUGUAUUUGUAAAGAGAAAUAUAGUUCAACACUUUAACAUUUGAAGAUAAUUUUAACAUUUUCAAAAACAUUUUAAGAACAAAAAAUAAGAACUUGUUGAUCCUGUUAUGUUUAUUCCUGGAAAUUAAGAGAGAUCAAAAUUAAACUUUUAAAAAUCAAAGAUGAAGCUUAAUGUCAUUAAGAAACAAUCUGGUAAAACUAAUUGGUAUUCUUAAAGGCGUUAUCGCUGUGUAGCAUAUCUCUUUCUCAAGUCUAACAGGGUUCAGACCUCGCAUAUGCUUACCAGAGUAUCCUCAAAAAUCUUCAAUAAAAUUCCUAGACCAUGGCAGUGCCAACACAACAUUCAAAAACAUGUCUUAUACUCUGUUUGAUAGUGACUCAAGUAAACACCCCCCUCCACUCCCUUUUAUGGAAUACUCAAAUAACCCUAAAAGAUAUGAACUACCAGGUUUGGCUUAGCAAAUUGCUAGGCUUUAUUAUAAACAACACAGAGAUAUCACCACAUUCAAACAAAUAGCAAAUAAGUAUCACACCAAAAGAAAUUUCAAACACAAUAUAGUAGAGGCUGACUAGAUGUAAGAAAUAUACUAAUAUUAUAACUUUAACCACCUAAUGUUCUGUUACUAAACCUUUAUAUGUGUGAAUUCUUACUGUAGAUAUUAUCUUCACUCCGACUAAACCUAAUGUUCUGUUACUAAACCAUUUAGUAAAAUCUCAAUGCUUUACCAACUGAGCUAUUCACCCAAGAAUAUCAAGUAAUAAGAUUACUGAGGAAAUAAAUUAGGCUCCUCUUUUCAUCAUAUCACAGACAGGAAGCAGCUUCGUAUGAGGUUCAUACAUACUGCAGAACAAGUCUCGUGACCUGGUGUUGUUUCGGCCAUGGGAGAAUUGAUCUACAAAAAAGGCAAGUAUACCACACUUUGCCAUAAACAUAACUGAAGGUUUUUUUUAUAGGAGCAAGUUCCAUGACACCAUAGUAAAACGUUUCUUACUGCCAUACAACUUAACUACUCAGAAAUAUGGAAAUUCGAGUUAGUUUAGUACUAAAUAAGUAAAUAGUGAAUCCGAAUUAAAAAAAAAAUUAACAUUUGAUAUGAAUUAUAAGCUCAAGUGCCAAUGGAUUAUAAGUUGUGUUGUUGCUCAUCAACUUGUUCUGCCAUGAAGAAGAUUGUUCACUUCCAAGAAUUGUACAAGUAUGAUAUGAAUUUUCAGAUGGUCUUGGAUUUUGAUUGCUAGGUGGGCGAUAUUGGACAAUGGAUUGUAAAGUAUCUCGUGAUUGAAUAUCGAAACGAUUCCUCCUUUUUUACUCUACUGGUAAGUAUUCCUCAAAAGGACUAUGUGUUGAGAUAUCUGUGUAAAAUGUAAAUACUCUCGAUUAGUUGGGAGAACUGAUUUCUUUUCUUUCAUCUACUUAGUUGAAAUAUCAUAAAACUUACCUUGUUUCUAUUUCAAAAGAGUUCGUUCAAAGUAUGCAUACAGUCACGAAAACUACACGAAAGCAAAGAAGUGAAAGACCAAAUAUGGAACAGUAGAUAUGAAUGGAACAAUUUAUGUAGAAUAGAGAUUUAAUCGGCAAAAUUGUGAGCGUCAUUGACCCCCAAUAUUCUGGCAAUUCUUCGGGCUUAAGAUAUGGAUAAAACGUAUAUAUAUCAUCUAAGCUUUCUUAUUAUUCCUAUAAGAUGGAUAGAGAUGACAGUUCAUACUGUGGGUUUUGGACCAUCUACUAAACCUUCUCAUUUUGGAUGAAUUGGGGGUGAGAGUGAUUGUUAUGUACUAUAAUAGUGAUGCAAGAUAUUUGGUGGUUUUAACCUUAGCAUGCCUUGCAGCAAUUGUCUUCAUCUAAACAAGAAAUGAAAUCCCAAGAAGAAAACUCUACCUGGUCCAAAACCAUGGCCUAUUGUUGGCAAUUUACUCCAGCUUGAUAUCCAAAACAUAUGGGGAACUCAUGCAGGUCAAGUACGGUUCCCGAAAAGUCUUAGUUGCUUCAUCACCCAAAUAGGCAGAAACAUUUCUAAAGACAUGAUAGUGUGUUUGCAUCUAGGCCUCCUCUGGCCU